AUCUAGCAGGAAGUUCAAACAACUUUUGCUGUCCGGACAUGGUCCUCGAGUUGUACACAAAUGCAACUUUGUGUCCUCUGGCUGUUCUUUAAAACUCCAAAGCAAAUAUGGUAAAAUACAAAAAGCUAGAAUGGAAGCAGUGUUGUGCAGGCCUGUACAUUUGUUGCUGGCGUGUAGAUGUAAGUUUAGUAAAUACACGGAGCGACUAAAUGCAGUUUGUGUGCUCAGGUUCAACUGGCUCCAGGUGUCCUUCAGUAGGAGAAGGACUUCAAGGUGUAGUGGUGAGCCCAUGGAGAGCCAUCAUCUUCAGGCAGAGCAGCACUGGAGGAGA